CUGGUAGAUGCACUGCCUGUUCCAUUGCCGCGAGCUUAAAUUUAGCAUCGUAACAGACAAAUAGUUUAACUGAAUGGAAACUACAAUAAAAGAUAGAAAAUGGUGCCGUAACCUACUCGCAGCAGAGCAGACCAUCCGCAGACGCCACACCGCAGAUGCCUGCCUUGUCCUCCAUGGCUGAGGCUUUGGAAGGGCGUUCAACUUGAUUGAAUUGUCGCCGCAGCGGUCAUCUCAAGAGCAGACUAUAAUGUUACAUUUGUUUAAAAGGCGGUAAUUGGGAAGCAGAAAAUAUUAUAUUUUGCUUGAAGAAUUAUCUUAAAGUCAGAUGGAAAAAUUAUGUUCAUGUUACUAAAAACUCUUCUAAAAUGUUAUAUUUUGGCAUAUCAAAUCCGAAACAAAUCGGGCGUAGAAGAAAAAUCUAGUCUCCACAUUAGUUCUACGGUAGUCUUUGGGACUUGUGGUUUAUCCUUUAACCAUGAGGUCGCAUCUGCUCACUCUUUUAGGUAAUCUCGCCAGAUGGAAGAAUAAUUUAUGUGGCAAUAUCUUAAUGUUCCCUAUAUUUCUCUCAAGUUCUGAUUACCAUUGAAGGACGACAUAGUGGCAAAAUUAAGUGUUUUGAAACGUGUCUCCAACGAAGAGAUUUCGUACAGCCUUUUUGUGCAUUAGAUGAACAACGAAAGUGCUGGUUUACAAUACCGUCAAAUUGUACAUACGAUCUUGUUAAGUGUUUGAGAAAGCUGGCGAAGUUACCCCCUUAUAAACCCCAUCAGAUUGUGGAGGGUGAAUGUCAUAAAAUUAAGAAAGAACCAUGGUGCGAAACAAUUGUGAAAAAAGAAAGUGAGGAAACAGAAUAUUACACAGACGAGACGUCAAAGGACUCAUCAAAAGAAUAUUACACAGAAGAGAAGUCAAAAGAAUCAUCAGCAGAAAAAUCAAUAGA